rnacentral:rRNA from 1 species
UGGAGAGGUAAGCGGAAUUUCCGGUGUAGCGGUAAAAUGCGCAGAUAUCGGAAGGAACACCGAAGGCGAAGGCAGCUUACUGGACAGAAACUGACGCUCAUGCUCGAAAGCGUGGGGAGCGAAAGGGAUUAGAUACCCCUGUAGUCCACGCCCUAAACGUUGUACACUAGGUAUUGGAGGAAUCAUCCCCUUCAGUGCCCCAGCUAACGCGAUAAGUGUACCGCCUGAGGACUACGACCGCAAGGUUAAAACUCAAAGAAAUUGACGGGGGCCCGCACAAGCGGUGGAGCAUGUGGCUUAAUUCGAUGCAACGCGAAGAACCUUACCUGGGUUUGACAUGUAUUUGAAUAUAUGUGAAAGCAUAUAGUCCUUCGGGACAGGUACACAGAUGCUGCAUGGCUGUCGUCAGCUCGUGUCGUGAGAUGUUCGGUUAAGUCCGGCAACGAGCGCAACCCUCGCCCUAUGUUACUAACAGGUAAAGCUGAGGACUCUUAGGGGACAAACCUAACAUUAGGUGGGAAGGUGGGGAUGACGUCAAGUCAGUAUGGCUCUUACAUCCAGGGCUGCACACGUGCUACAAUGGCCGACACAGAGGGAUGCUACGUCGCGAGGCGAUGCGAAUCUCGAAAAUCGGUCUCAGUUCGGAUUGGAUGUCUGCAACUCGACUCCAUGAAGCCGGAAUCGCUAGUAAAGGCGUAUCAGCUACGACGCCUUGAAUACGUUCCCGGGCCUUGUACACACCGCCCGUCAAGUCAUGAAAGCCGGUUUUGCCCGAAGUUCGUGAGCUAACCCGCGAGGGGGGCAGCGGCCUAAGGCAAUGCUGGUGAUUGGGACUAAGUCGUAACAAGGUAGCCGUAGGGGAACCUGCGGCUG